CACGUGUGCAACCAACCCCGUACCGGGAGAUAACCCGCGGAAACGUGGACUAACACCCCAUAAGACCUUUCCCCCGCAUGGGGGGGAGUUUAAAACCCCGGUGGUACGGGACGGGCACGCGCGACAUUAGGUAGUUGGCGGGGUAACGGCCCACCAAGCCGACGAUGUCUAGGGGUUCUGAGAGGAAGGUCCCCCACACUGGAACUGAGACACGGUCCAGACUCCUACGGGAGGCAGCAGUGAGGAAUAUUGGUCAAUGGGCGAGAGCCUGAACCAGCCAAGUCGCGUGAGGGAAGAAUGGUCUAUGGCCUGUAAACCUCUUUUGUCAAGGAAGAACAUGUAGUACGUGUACUACCCUGCCAGUACUUGACGAAUAAGCAUCGGCUAACUCCGUGCCAGCAGCCGCGGUAAUACGGGGGAUGCGAGCGUUAUCCGGAUUUAUUGGGUUUAAAGGGCGCGUAGGCGGGACGUCAAGUCAGCGGUAAAAGACUGCAGCUAAACUGUAGCACGCCGUUGAAACUGUCGACCUGGAGACGAGACGAGGGAGGCGGAACAAGUGAAGUAGCGGUGAAAUGCAUAGAUAUCACUUGGAACCCCGAUAGCGAAGGCAGCUUCCCAGGCUCGAUCUGACGCUGAUGCGCGAGAGCGUGGGUAGCGAACAGGAUUAGAUACCCUGGUAGUCCACGCCGUAAACGAUGCUCACUGGAUCUUGGCGAUACACGGCCAGGGUUCAAGCGAAAGUAUUAAGUGAGCCACCUGGGGAGUACGUCGGCAACGAUGAAACUCAAAGGAAUUGACGGGGGCCCGCACAAGCGGAGGAACAUGUGGUUUAAUUCGAUGAUACGCGAGGAACCUUACCCGGGUUUAAAUGCAGGUUGCAUGAGGUGGAAACACCUCUUUCCCUCGGGACUACCUGCAAGGUGCUGCAUGGUUGUCGUCAGCUCGUGCCGUGAGGUGUCGGGUUAAGUCCCAUAACGAGCGCAACCCCUAUCGCCAGUUGCCAUCGGUUUCGGCCGGGCACUCUGUCGAGACUGCCACCGUAAGGUGCGAGGAAGGCGGGGAUGACGUCAAAUCAGCACGGCCCUUACACCCGGGGCGACACACGUGUUACAAUGGCCGGUACAGAGGGCAGCCACGGGGCGACCCGGAGCGAAUCUCUAAAGCCGGUCGUAGUUCGGACUGGAGUCUGCAACCCGACUCCACGAAGUUGGAUUCGCUAGUAAUCGCGCAUCAGC
rnacentral:rRNA from 1 species